CCUACGGGAGGCAGCAGUGAGGAAUAUUGGUCAAUGGACGAGAGUCUGAACCAGCCAAGUAGCGUGAAGGAUGACUGCCCUAUGGGUUGUAAACUUCUUUUAUAUGGGAAUAAAAUGUUCCACGUGUGGGAUUUUGUAUGUACCAUAUGAAUAAGGAUCGGCUAACUCCGUGCCAGCAGCCGCGGUAAUACGGAGGAUCCGAGCGUUAUCCGGAUUUAUUGGGUUUAAAGGGAGCGUAGGUGGAUUGUUAAGUCAGUUGUGAAAGUUUGCGGCUCAACCGUAAAAUUGCAGUUGAAACUGGCAGUCUUGAGCACAGUAGAGGUGGGCGGAAUUCGUGGUGUAGCGGUGAAAUGCUUAGAUAUCACGAAGAACUCCGAUUGCGAAGGCAGUUCACUGGACUGCAACUGACACUGAGGCUCGAAAGUGUGGGUAUCAAACAGGAUUAGAGACCCGAGUAGUC
rnacentral:rRNA from 1 species